AAGCGGACAGAUGGGAGCUUGCUCCCUGAUGUUAGCGGCGGACGGGUGAGUAACACGUGGGUAACCUGCCUGUAAGACUGGGAUAACUCCGGGAAACCGGGGCUAAUACCGGAUGCUUGAUUGAACCGCAUGGUUCAAUUAUAAAAGGUGGCUUUUACCUACCACUUACAAAUGGACCCCCGGCGCAUUAGCUAGUUGGUGAGGUAACGGCUCACCAAGGCAACGAUGCGUAGCCGACCUGAGAGGGUGAUCGGCCACACUGGGACUGAGACACGGCCCACACUCCUACGGGA
rnacentral:rRNA from 1 species